rnacentral:rRNA from 1 species
GUCUGACAUGAAACCGGCGCACGGGUGCGUAACACGUAUGCAACCUACCUUUAACUGGGGUAUAGCUCAGAGAAAUCUGAAUUAAUCCCCCAUAAGACUACGACAUGGCAUCAUGAUGUAGUUAAAGCUCCGGCGGUUAAGGAUGGGCAUGCGGUACAUUAGCUAGUUGGUGAGGUAAUGGCUCACCAAGGCUACGAUGUAUAGGGGGUCUGAGAGGAUGAUCCCCCACACUGGUACUGAGACACGGACCAGACUCCUACGGGAGGCAGCAGUAGGGAAUAUUGGUCAAUGGACGCAAGUCUGAACCAGCCAUGCCGCGUGAAGGAUGAAGGCCCUAUGGGUCGUAAACUUCUUUUAUUAGGGAAGAAAAAAUGGGAUGCGUCCUAUACUGACGGUACUUAAUGAAUAAGGAUCGGCUAACUUCGUGCCAGCAGCCGCGGUAAGACGAAGGAUCCAAGCGUUGUCCGGAUUUACUGGGUUUAAAGGGUGCGUAGGCGGAAAAUUAAGUCAGUGGUGAAAGCCCGCAGCUCAACUGUGGAACUGCCAUUGAAACUGGUUUUCUUGAAUAUAGCUGAGGCAGAUGGAAUAUAACAUGUAGCGGUGAAAUGCUUAGAUAUGUUAUAGAACACCGAUUGCGAAGGCAGUCUGCUAAACUAUUAUUGACGCUGAGGCACGAAAGCGUGGGGAGCGAACAGGAUUA